rnacentral:rRNA from 1 species
CCUAAAGGCGUAAUGAAAGUAAAGGUCGACCUUGUGUCGAUUAAGGGAGGAUGAGCUAUGUUAAGAUGUAGCUUCGCACUCCCGGGGCGUCUCAUUCUCAUUACGAGAAGAGGCGCACCUAGAGCGUACACGUUGGGACCCGAAAGAUGGUGAACUAUGCCUGGUCAGGACGAAGUCAGGGGAAACCCUGAUGGAGGUCCGUAGCGAUUCUGACGUGCAAAUCGAUCGUCGGAACUGGGUAUAGGGGCGAAAGACUAAUCGAACCAUCUAGUAGCUGGUUCCCUCCGAAGUUUCCCUCAGGAUAGCUGGCACUCGUUUUCAACGAGUUUCAUCUGGUAAAGCGAAUGAUUAGAGGCCUUGGGGCCGAAACGACCUCAACCUAUUCUCAAACUUUAAAUGGGUGAGAUCUCUGGCUUGCUUGAAUAUAUGAAGCCAUGAGAUUGAUUCAAUUGAAUCAGAGUGCCAAGUGG